rnacentral:rRNA from 1 species
UUGGCCUUGACAUACUAAGAACUUUCAGAGAUGGAUUGGUGCCUUUCGGGAACUUAGAUACAGGUGCUGCAUGGCUGUCGUCAGCUCGUGUCGUGAGAUGUUGGGUUAAGUCCGCAACGAGCGCAACCCUUUUCCUUAUUUGCCAGCGGGUAAUGCCGGGAACUUUAAGGAUACUGCCAGUGACAAACUGGAGGAAGGCGGGGACGACGUCAAGUCAUCAUGGCCCUUACGGCCAGGGCUACACACGUGCUACAAUGGUCGGUACAAAGGGUUGCUACCUCGCGAGAGGAUGCUAAUCUCAAAAAGCCGAUCGUAGUCCGGAUCGCAGUCUGCAACUCGACUGCGUGAAGUCGGAAUCGCUAGUAAUCGCGGAUCAGAAUGCCGCGGUGAAUACGUUCCCGGGCCUUGUACACACCGCCCGUCACACCAUGGGAGUUUGUUGCACCAGAAGUAGGUAGUCUAACCGCAAGGAGGACGCUUACCACGGUGUGGCCGAUGACUGGGGUGAAGUCGUAACAAGGUAAGCGUAGAUGA